rnacentral:lncRNA from 1 species
CAAAGUACAAAUAUUAAUUCAUUUAUUAUUGUCAACAUUUAUAAUACAAACAAGCUUUAUUUCUUAAUGAUAUGCAAAUUAGUUAGGCAGAGAUGUCAUUAAAAACAAACAAAAACAAGAAAUUACAAUGAAUCUUUCCCUUAGUCCGAUUCAGUAUUUUAAUUUCAUGAUUAAGUAAAUCCCUUUUCAAAUUAGAAAUUAAAAACAUGAUUGUGUGAAAACGUGUAUCGAAUCCCAACAUCAUUAAUA